rnacentral:misc_RNA from 1 species
UCCCGGUUGGCCCGGGCAGUCUCGCAUGAAAAAUACAACAUACGAUAAGGGUUGCGCUCGUUGCGGGACUUAACCCAACAUCUCACGACACGAGCUGACGACGGCCAUGCAACACCUGUCACUGAGUUCCCGAAGGCACUCCUGCAUUUCUGCAAGAUUCUCAGGAUGUCAAGCCUUGGUGAGGUUCUUCGCGUAUCGUCAAAUUAAACCACAUCAUCCUCCGCUUGUGCGGGUCCCCGUCAAUUCCUUUGAGUUUUAGCCUUGCGGCCGUACUUCCCAGGCGGCAUACUUAACGCGUUAGCUUCGUCACACAGGGGGUCGAUACCCCAUACGACUAGUAUGCAUCGUUUACGGCGUGGACUAC